GUACGGGAGGCAGCAGUGGGGAAUAUUGCGCAAUGGGGGAAACCCUGACGCAGCAACGCCGCGUGAAGGAAGAAGGCCUUCGGGUCGUAAACUUCUGUCUUAGCUGACGAUAAUGACGGUAAGCUAGGAGGAAGCCACGGCUAACUACGUGCCAGCAGCCGCGGUAAUACGUAGGUGGCGAGCGUUGUCCGGAAUUACUGGGCGUAAAGGGUGCGCAGGCGGUAUCUUAAGUCAGAUGUGAAAUUCCGGGGCUCAACUCCGGAACUGCAUUUGAAACUGGGAUGCUAGAGUGCAGGAGAGGAAAGCGGAAUUCCUAGUGUAGCGGUGAAAUGCGUAGAUAUUAGGAAGAACACCAGUGGCGAAGGCGGCUUUCUGGACUGUAACUGACGCUGAGGCACGAAAGCGUGGGGAGCAAACAGGAUUAGAUACCCCUGUAGUCC
rnacentral:rRNA from 1 species